GUGGGGAAUCUUCCGCAAUGGACGAAAGUCUGACGGAGCGACGCCGCGUGAGUGAAGAAGGCCUUCGGGUCGUAAAGCUCUGUCAUCAGGGACGAAUGGCCGGUGGAGUGGAAAGCCACCGGAUUGACGGUACCUGAGAAGGAAGCCACGGCUAACUACGUGCCAGCAGCCGCGGUAAUACGUAGGUGGCAAGCGUUGUCCGGAAUUAUUGGGCGUAAAGCGCGCGCAGGUGGGAUCUUAAGUCCAUUUUGAAAGUUCGGAGCUCAACUCCGUGAUGGGAUGGAAACUGGGAUUCUUGAGUACCGGAGAGGAAAGCGGAAUUCCCCGUGUAGCGGUGAAAUGCGUAGAUAUGGGGAGGAACACCAGUGGCGAAGGCGGCUUUCUGGACGGUGUCUGACACUGAGGCGCGAAAGCUAGGGGAGCGAACGGGAUUAGAUACCCCUGUAGUCC
rnacentral:rRNA from 1 species